rnacentral:tRNA from 1 species
GGAGGGGUACCGAAGUGGCCAAACGGAGCGGACUGUAAAUCCGUUGGCAGGUGCCUUCGGGGGUUCGAAUCCCUCCCCCUCCACCA